rnacentral:rRNA from 1 species
AACGUAGGGGGCGAGCGUUAUCCGGAAUCACUGGGCGUAAAGGGCGUCUAGGCGGUCCAGUAAGUCCUGCGUGAAAGCUCCCGGCUCAACUGGGAGAGCGCGUGGGAGACUGUUGGGCUAGAGACUCGGAGAGGGGUGUGGAAUUCCCGGUGGAGUGGUGAAAUGCGUAGAGAUCCGGAGGAACCCCAGAGGCGAAGGCGGCGCCCUGGCUCGCAAUUGACGCUCAGACACGACAGCAUGGGGAGCGAACGGG